UACUAAAUUGAAAGAAAGACGAGAGUUUCGGGUAUUUACCAAAAAGUGAUUGAAUAAAAUAAUGAAACAAUGCGAUUCUUAUUAGAACGAAAAAAAUCUUCAUUUGAAUGAAAGGAUUGCCAGAUGCAUGACAAGUUAUAUAUCUUUUGGAGUGUUCGUUUGCAUAACCCAGGCAAUUAAGACAAGGCUUAAGGCUACACUCUCCUACGAAAAAGAACUUUUUAUCUCAAGCUAGAAACUUGAAUUCAAAACGAAAUCACAGCCGAUGAACAUCAUCCAUCGACUCAACUUAAGCAUUGGAUUUCUCUAUGAGAUAUCGCGCCGAACAAAAGGACACGCCUAGAACUUCACCAGGAAUGUCCGCUUCAAAUGUCUCCCAUACACACUUGGACUCUGUUAUGAGAAAAACUUCUUAGUUACAAAGUUGAUGUUUGUUUUCUUUAAACAUGCUUCCUGUGAUGUUUGGGUAUAUGAAUAUUAGAGUGAUAUUGUCCUAAGGUUUUGUAUUGCUGCAUGCACCUUCUAGACGCCUGUGGUAUGGCGAUAAACCUCAAAACCCAGAGUAUCCCGAAGUAGGUUUAGGCUAUUUCAACUACGAUUACGCUCUAGUCGAUUUUAACCAAUAUUGCACUCAAACAAAGUUCUCAUUAAUUCACCCAUUCAUUUAACUCUCUCGUAUCUAAUUUUCUCGAGAUAAUUUAGCCCUGGUUUGUGAAUCGCUGCUAAUUAAGGUAAAUUGCUUAAGUUUUCAAUCUCCAAUUGCACUGUCUAAUUGUGGAAUAUUUGCUAACUUAUAGGGCUUAGGAUUUCAUUGUUUAGAGUAAAAAUCGAACAGAGUAAUAAAACACUUAUUGGCGAA